rnacentral:lncRNA from 1 species
GAUGAUCUGUCACUAUCUCCCAUCACCCACAGAUGGAACCAUCUAGUUGCAGGAAAACAAGCUCAGAACUCCCACUGAUUCUACAUUAUGAGAAUUAACAGGACCAUCCUUUCUGGAGCUGCUCAAGAUCGGCUGAAGGAAGCAAAGCUACAUUUCUUGUUUUCUGGUUCCUAUGAACAGAAGCAGAAUUUUUUCACAACAGAAAGUGAAGCAACGAAGUUUUGAGGGUUGCUCCUCAUUUAAUGAUGUGGGAUCUUGUUAUGUUACCCAGGCUGGAGAGCAGUGGCUAUUCACAGGUGUGAUAGACACACUAUGACCUGGAACUCCUGGCCUCAAGUGACCCUCCUGCCUUAGCCUCUCAAGCAGCUGGGACUAUAGGCUCCUGACACCAUAUCCAGCUGAACCUGAUUUUAUAUUCCAGUGGCUGACAAACUAACUCCUCCGAACUACAGAUUCUACCCACCUAAUUUUUGCCAGUUUGUAUGCAAAAGAACAACUUAUCACUUUUUAUUUUCAAGUCACUUCCCUCCAACCAUGUACGUUAAACCCAUUUCAAAAUAAACUUUGUCAAGAAAGCUUACCUACUUUCUAGACUCUAGAUCAAAGAUGU